rnacentral:rRNA from 1 species
AAACCGCCUAGAGGUAAACGGGUGGAUCCGCAAAGUCGGCCCGCGGAAUUCAGCUCGGCAGGUCGCGCGCCCGCGGGUGGGUCGGGGAUCUUUAUCGACCCUCCCACCUCGGGACCGCGCGUCGACCGUGUGCACUUUCCGCGGGCAGAGCGCCACGACCGGUUCUCGGGCGGUCAGAAGGCGGCGGGGAUGGUAGGCGUGCGCUUCGGCGUGCGCUGGUAUAGCCCCGCCUGUCCCGAUCCGCUCGGGGACCGAGGAGCCGCCGCCGGCGUAGGCCGCCUUGCCCUCCUGGGAGGUUCGACUGGCAGAGACUGGGCAACCGUGUCUGCCGACCGCCUCUCUGGACGGAUGGGGUGGGCCCGCCGGCACAGGGUCGGUGGCGAAUCGGUCGGCCCUCCACCCGACCCGUCUUGAA